GAGCGUGACAGUUCCCUUGGUCCUCUUUAGGAUGCCGACGGCUUCUUCGUGCGUGACGCCCUCCAGACUCUGCCCAUUAACGGCCAUGAUUUGGUCUCCUCUCUUCAGACGGCCGUCUUCUGCUGCUGCCCCCUAAAUGACCUUCAUCGUUUCAUGCCGCUGACUAAUGGUCCAACUAUCGAUCCAGCAAUUUCAUAUUUUUCCAGUGGGCCUCUGCGCAAAUGUGGCUUAUGCUCCUCGGAAAGCGGCAGACAAACAGCUGUCCCAGGCCCUGGCCAGACUUCUUGUGGAGCUCGACCGUGAACGAGUCCCACAGGUCUUCCUCCUUGUACUGGGCCUCGUCCCUGUAGACCACCAGCCGGACUCUCUGAGGGGUCUGCCGCAGCACAUUGAUGGCUUCAUCGUGACUGGCUUCACGCAGGUCGAUUCCGUUCACCUGCGACGAGAGAAAAAAAAAGAGUGUGAGUGUCAUUUGGGGUUCAGAGGUUACAUUCCAGGGCUGGAUAUUGUCUGCAGUGGCCGAGGCCAGACAAAGAGCCACCCCCCCCCUCGCCGUCCUCCCACAAGCCUGACUGAGCAGACAAAAUAGAUGGGGCUGAGGAGAGGACAACAAGAGAGGAGGAGGACGAAGAGGACAACGAAGACUGUGACAACAUCAUUUCCUACAUUCCUGAGCUGCCACGGCUAUUUCCAACCUGAUUGUACCACCACCAAAGUUUCUAAGGUGUCGCAGCCUCCCACGAUGCUAAGGCCCAGGCCUGUGCGGCCCUUGGAGAUAUCGAUGGUGGUCUCACAGCCGGGGAUGAUGGGACAGGUCGCCGGGUCGCAGGCCAGAGUGGAAGGAGUGGACGAGCGACUCGGACCUGAAAUAGUGGAAGCAAGAGAGGAAACGCGAUAGCCACCAUUCAGACCAGUAGGCUCCUGUUGUUCUGGGCUCCCUGCCAUUGUUGAACCAUCAGUCCUGUACUAAUCUCCACAACUCACCUUCCUGGGCCUAACCUCAUCAAUCUUAUCCCCGCAGGAUGGACUCUGGGUGGAUUUAUGAACAGGCGGGACAAGCGUGGAACUGGGAGGACCUCUAGUGGCAGCAGGUCUGCCAGGAAUCUCUGUCAGCGUGUCUGUAUCAGUCUCUCCCACAUGGGGCACCACUGGCAGGAGGAGGACAGCGCUGGUGGGAGAUGCCUUUGCUGCUUCACGCCUCGCCGGCUGUCACGCCACAGAUGGG